rnacentral:rRNA from 1 species
UGGGGAAUAUUGGACAAUGGGCGCAAGCCUGAUCCAGCCAUGCCGCGUGAGUGAUGAAGGCCNCGNNGGGUUAGGUAAGUCUCUUCACCGGUGAAGAAUAAUGACGGUAACCGGAGAAGAAGCCCCGGCUAACUUCGUGCCAGCAGCCGCGGUAAUACGAAGGGGGCUAGCGUUGUUCGGAUUUACUGGGCGUAAAGCGCACGUAGGCGGACUUUUAAGUCAGGGGUGAAAUCCCGGGGCUCAACCCCGGAACUGCCUUUGAUACUGGAAGUCUUGAGUAUGGUAGAGGUGAGUGGAAUUCCGAGUGUAGAGGUGAAAUUCGUAGAUAUUCGGAGGAACACCAGUGGCGAAGGCGGCUCACUGGACCAUUACUGACGCUGAGGUGCGAAAGCGUGGGGAGCAAACAGGAUUAGNNUCCCUGGUAGUCCACGCCGUAAACGAUGAAUGUUAGCCGUUGGGGAGUUUACUCUUCGGUGGCGCAGCUAACGCAUUAAACAUUCCGCCUGGGGAGUACGGUCGCAAGAUUAAAACUUAAAUGAAUUG